rnacentral:lncRNA from 1 species
CCCCGUAACCACUUGGGCCAAGGCCUCCCAAUCUUUCCACCCCUAAGAAAAAUGCCAUUCCUUCCAGAGUCGAUGAGGAUAAGGAAAGCUGCGUCGGCCACCGCCGGUGCGGCGCGCCGGUCGAGAGGCGUACAGGCCUCGGAGGAAGCAACCGGCUCAGCCCGUGGUGGCGCAAUGGCAGCUGCUCGUCGCGGAGCCGAUGCGAGCAAGGGCGGGCGGCGCUCCGGCCGUGCUGUGGCGUCGACCUGUCCGUUGAAUCCAAGGCCAUUCCAGGGCCUUCAAAGUCCCGGCUUGAGCAAAGGUGCUAACCUGCAUUUGGAUUCCUGCUCUGAACUUAAUUUGCAGUAUAGGUUAUUCGCUUGAGGUGCAAAGGGGGGCAUAUUGAGUUCAGUGUACAAUUUAUUUGAUGAAUGACACAAAUGGCGUGUGCCACAGUGACAUGAAGUGUACAAUUUGGUUAAUGAAUCAAAUGGCGUGUGCUACAGCUACAUGAACUAAAUCAUGACUAUAGUAUUUUGCAACGUUUUGGACACAUAAUUUUUUUUAACUGAUCAAACAGCAGAAGGUGUUAAUCUUAUUCAGUAGGAUAUUAUAUCAUGGAUGGCUUCUGAAAGUAAAAGUCUGAUUAAACUCUUUUAUCAACAAAAAAAGGUACUAUACAUUUAGUACGGCAUAUUAAGUUGCAGGACAUGGGUAGGGGUGAGGACGGUUCCCCCUCUGUUAUUCACAACUUCUCUCAUAUAAUAAACUCAUAUGGAGUACAAGUUAUUAUGAAUAACCACACAAAAGAUCAGCUCAUGGAGAGCAAGCCAUAAAGUAUACAAUUAAGCUGUACUAAGACCUGCAUAUACUAACGGCCAUCAACUGUUGUGAUACUCACUGCAUUCACAGAGUUUGAUGUAAUCUCCCUUCCUUCUUCGUCCGCACAAGUACCUUGAGCAAAAUACACAGGUUGCUUUGGAGCUGGAAGUGGUGCGCUUCGUUCUCGAACAUAAACAUAACCGAUGACAUAAGUGGCCUAUCCCUAGCAUGGUCCUGAACACACAAGAGUCCCACAUGAAUACAACGCAGAACUUCAUGAAGUCGGAAACUUGCAACAAAGGAAGAGUCCACAAGUUCAAUGGCGUUUCCAUCUUCCCACAGUCUCCAUGCCUGAGCAAUAGAGUGAGGUCAACAUCAAGUUACUAACUUUACUGUUGGGAAAGGGGGGAGGGGGAGAUUGAAA